rnacentral:tmRNA from 1 species
GGGGCUGAUUCUGGAUUCGACGGGAUUUGCGAAACCCAAGGUGCAUGCCGAGGGGCGGUUGGCCUCGUAAAAAGCCGCAAAAAAAUAGUCGCAAACG